AAAAAGGGCAGCCUGAGCUUCAACUUCGGGGGCACCCGGGUUCCACCACUCAUCUGUGCCCUCCCAAGGCCUCCGCAAUAACUGGGCUCGGAGUCCAGGGAAGAGGCCUCCUCAACGUCACCGGCUCCCUGGCACACGAGCCCUCAGAGCCUGGGACACUCCUGCAGCCUGGCUCAAGCCCUCCCCACCGCUGAGGCAUUCAUUUGGAUGGGGUCUGGGGGUCAAGGGGAAAGUUGGGAGUCCCAAAGGGCAGGAGAGUCACCCCAGACCCAGCCAGAGCCCAAGGACUUCUGCCCACCCACAAAUGAAUUGUAGUCACUUUUCAAAAAGUUUCCCAUCUGGAUAGAAAAAGAGCACCCAGCCACCUCCAGGCAGACCCCACCGUGAACCGAGCUGGCUCCUGGUGCCCGGGGCCUCGUCCCGGGGCUCUUCAGAGGUGAAUGCCACCCGGCCCCCAGCAUCAGCCCCGCGGGAGGCCACGCGGAAGUCAAGCUCCUCAGCAGGGACCCGCACAGACGCAGACCACCAGGGCUGCUCUCCCCAAAGCCCCCCUAGUCUCCGCCCACGUGUGCCCCCCUCCCCCCGCGCCCUGCCCCUGUAAACGCCUCCUGACCCUGACGUGGCUGGGCGAGCUGCAGAAGUGCCGAGUCCGACCAGGGGCAGCCUCGCCCGCCGCUCAGCUCGGGAAUCCCCGCCCCCCACCAGCACCUCAGUGGGGGGUACCGCAAGUUCAAGGGCCUGGACUCAGAGACCAGAGGCCGGAACUGGCAGACUGUCCUCACAGGCUGUGUGAUGCUGGCUGGUCGUCCCAUCUCUCCAGGGCCCCACAGGACCAGGGACCGGGACACGGAAGGACAGUGGACCACAGUGGUCGGGGGACCCGCCUGUUGGAGGCAGGUGCAGGCCCGUGUGGUGGGGACAAUGAGCUUUGCUAUUUGCAAGUCCUGUCCAGAGCAUAGAUCCUCCUGUUCAGAAGCCACCUCAUUAAUGUCCCCAAUACCUCCCCGACUUAGGAAGGCAUCCCCUUGCGGUUCCAGCCAGUCAGGGACACAGGGCCGGGGAUCCCAUGCCGCUUAGAACAGGUUCAGCUGCAUCUAAUCCCAGGGGACCCUGUGAGGAACCUACAUACCCUCCAGGCUGGCCCACAGGAGCUGAGGUGGGUCUCUCCUCCAGGUUUACCUCCUGGGCUCAUGGCCCCUUCCCCAUAUCCCAAGGCCAGCUCUGCAGAGUCAUGGGGAGAAGCCAGAGCCCCAGCCACACUCGCCACACACACCAACGCCCACUCUGGUGUCCUCCGGCCAGCGACAGCGAGGGACAGAGCGGCGCUCCCUGCACCUGCCCAGUCCGGAGGCUUCUUGGGUGAUGACAGGCCCUGCUCCCGGCCCCACACACCCCACUAAAGACCCCACGUCUCACCAUAAAGGAGGCCAGGAGGUUUUAAGCUUCUACCAGGUCCAAGCACUUUCCUGGAAACUAAAUAGCUUCCCACUGGCAGCCGGAGUGCGUGGUGUGAGGGGCGGUGUCCGAACUCCCCCUGCAAGGCCCCUCCCCUGCACCCCACUUCCUCCGGCCUGCCAUCUCCAGGCAGAGUUGAGGGGGGCAGGCCAGGCCUGCAGCUGGGGUCAGGGUUAUAGACAGCCACAGCGGGGGAGGUGGGGAGCAGUCUGUAGCCUGUGCAGGAGGCUCUGUAAAGGAUUCGGGUGCUCCGUGGUGGUGAGAGAGAGGGUGUGCAGCGGACGUGGCCAUAAAUCACCCUCCUCACAGCAGCCCCACACCCAAGGAGCAGGGCAUGGGCACAGGGCCAUCUCUUCCCAGUAGAAGGGCUGGUGUUGGUGGUCAGACCCCGACGGUCCUUAGGGUCCGUAGGACAGAGUCAGAAGACAGAGCAGUUCCUUCGUUUACCCACAGCACCAGCCUCACAGUAACAGCCGGCACACAGCACUUAGGCUGCCUGGUGUUCCAGAAGCUUCUGCAGUGGCUAUGCGGGGACUAUGCUGAGCUCAAGGCACCCAUAAGAGGAGGGCAUUUUGCUGUCCCCACUUUACCAAGAAGGAACUGGGGCUUGGGGUGGGUGCUCACUAGCCCAAGGUCCCACACCCAGCAUCGAUUGGAGCUGGGUGUGUUACGGCCAAUCUGGUCCCCACCUUGUCCCAGAG
rnacentral:lncRNA from 1 species